rnacentral:rRNA from 1 species
CCUACGGGCGGCAGCAGUAGGGAAUAUUGCUCAAUGGGGGAAACCCUGAAGCAGCAACGCCGCGUGGAGGAUGAAGGUUUUCGGAUUGUAAACUCCUUUUGUUAGAGAAGAUAAUGACGGUAUCUAACGAAUAAGCACUGGCUAACUCCGUGCCAGCAGCCGCGGUAAUACGGAGGGUGCAAGCGUUAAUCGGAAUCACUGGGCGUAAAGAGCGCGUAGGUGGGAUAGCAAGUCAGAUGUGAAAUCCUAUGGCUUAACCAUAGAACUGCAUUUGAAACUGUCAUUCUAGAGUAUGGGAGAGGUAGGUGGAAUUCUUGGUGUAGGGGUAAAAUCCGUAGAGAUCAAGAGGAAUACUCAUUGCGAAGGCGACCUGCUGGAACAUAACUGACGCUGAUGCGCGAAAGCGUGGGGAGCAAACAGGAUUAGAUACCCCAGUAGUC